rnacentral:rRNA from 1 species
CCAAUAGCGUAUAUUAGUGUUGUUGCGGUUAAAAAGCUCGUAGUUGAAUUUCGGGAUUGGGAUAUAUCGGUCGUGCCUUUAGGGGCAUGAAUCGGUGUGUGGCCAAUUCUCACCUUCUGGUGAAUUGGGAUGCUCUCGGGUGUUUCAAUGAACUAGGACUUUUACUUUGAAAAAAUUAGAGUGUUUAGAGCGGGCAUUUUGCUUGAAUACGUUAGCAUGGAAUAAUAAAAUAGGACGAUGGUUCUAUUUUGUUGGUUUUAGGACCACGUAAUGAUUAAUAGGGAUAGUUGGGGGCAUUAGUAUUCAAUUGUCAGAGGUGAAAUUCUUGGAUUUAUUGAGGACUAACUAUUGCGAAAGCAUUUGCCAAGGAUGUUUUCAUUAAUCAAGAACGAAAGUUAGGGGAUCAAAGACGAUUUAUGUACGUCGUAGUCUUAACCAUAAACUAUGCCGACUAGGAAUCAGACAAAGUUAAUUUUUUAACGACUUGUUUGGUACCUUACG